rnacentral:rRNA from 1 species
UUUCGCAAUGCCCGAAAGGGUGACCCAGCAACGCCGCGUGGAGGAUGAAUGUCGUAAGAUUGUAAACUCCUGUUAGAGGGGAAGAAUAAUUCCGAUCGACUCGGAAAUUGACUGUACCCUCAGAGAAAGCCCCGGCUAACUACGUGCCAGCAGCCGCGGUAAUACGUAGGGGGCAAGCGUUGUCCGGAUUUACUGGGUGUAAAGGGCGCGCAGGUGGGUUGACAAGUCAGAGGUGAAAUCCUACAGCUUAACUGUAGAACUGCCCUUGAGACUGUCAAUCUUGAGUACGGAAGAGAGAGAUGGAAUUCCAGGUGUAGUGGUGAAAUACGUAGAUAUCUGGAAGAACACCAGUGGCGAAGGCGGUCUCUUGGUCCAAUACUGACACUAAGGCGCGAAAGCUAGGGGAGCAAACGGGAUUAGAUACCCCGGUAGUCCUAGCCGUAAACGAUGGGCACUAAGUAGAGGGGUUUU